UUGAACGCUGGCGGCAGGCCUAACACCUGCCAGUCGAGCGGAUGAAGGGAGCUUGCUCCUGGAUUCAGCGGCGGACGGGUGAGUAAUGCCUAGGAAUCUGCCUGGUAGUGGGGGAUAACGUCCGGAAACGGGCGCUAAUACCGCAUACGUCCUGAGGGAGAAAGUGGGGGAUCUUCGGACCUCACGCUAUCAGAUGAGCCUAGGUCGGAUUAGCUAGUUGGUGGGGUAAAGGCCUACCAAGGCGACGAUCCGUAACUGGUCUGAGAGGAUGAUCAGUCACACUGGAACUGAGACACGGGCCAGACUCCUACGGGAGGCAGCAGUGGGGAAUAUUGGACAAUGGGCGAAAGCCUGAUCCAGCCAUGCCGCGUGUGUGAAGAAGGUCUUCGGAUUGUAAAGCACUUUAAGUUGGGAGGAAGGGCAGUAAGUUAAUACCUUGCUGUUUUGACGUUACCAACAGAAUAAGCACCGGCUAACUUCGU
rnacentral:rRNA from 1 species